rnacentral:lncRNA from 1 species
CUCAUUCUGCCUUUACAUCUAUUUAUAUUAUGUUAUACACUAUCUCCACUGCAAACAUAAAUUUUCAAAUAAUAAUAAUAUAAAGGUUGGAUGACUGUCUAUUUUACUAUCAAUUGAUCCUGAAAAACAACUUUAAUCGGGGUUAUACUGUGUUAAGGGUCCUCAGAGCUGCAUGAGUCUUACCUGUAAAGAGGACCCAGAGGCUCACAACAUGAAAUGACUCUGGGAUGUGUAAAAAGCAUUGAUCUACAAGAGACAUUGAAAUCAUUUAGUAUAAAACCUUCACUUUAUGGAUAAAGAACAGUAGGAUGGAGGUUGCAGUGAGCCAAGAUCACUACCCAAGACGGUGACUGUAUUUAGGAUAUCUCUUGCUCCUCGGCAUUCAAAAGCAUGGAAGACACCCUCACCUUUCUUCUCAGGCAACCCAAAUGCUUCCAAGUGCUCAAACUAAACAUUCAAAUUUAAAGGGGUAAGUUAAAAAAAGAGAUGCAUUUAUUCAU